rnacentral:tRNA from 1 species
GAGGGAAUAGCUCAGUGGCAGAGCACAUGCUUAGCAUGCACAAGGUCCUGGGUUCAAUGCCCAGCACCUUCA